rnacentral:rRNA from 1 species
AACGAACGCUGGCGGCGCGCCUAAUACAUGCAAGUCGAGCGAGAAGACGUAGCAAUACGUUGUAAAGCGGCGAACGGGUGAGGAAUACAUGGGUAACCUACCCUCGAGUGGGGAAUAACUAGCCGAAAGGUUAGCUAAUACCGCAUAAUGCAGCGGCUCGACAUCGAGACAGUUGUUAAAGCAGCAAUGCGCCUGAGGAGGAGCCUGCGUCU